UACUAAGAUUUCGUAGUCCACAGGUGGCUAAUAAAUCAUUCAUUUUUCUCAAACAUUUUGUCAGCAACAGUACUUAGUACCUAGUACUAUUAAUAUCACCUAUGUGAAAUGAAGUAUCGAUCGAGACCUGCGCGUUGCAUUCAGGCCGCGACUAUUUAUAUCCGGGUGCAGCGCCGUCCAUCCCUCAUUCUGACGACAGCCACGGCUGGGGCCGUGCCUCCUCUGGAGUUCUGCUGAUACCAAGACGGAGAGCGACCUCACCUGACACUCUGGAGUACACCUUUCCGAGUGCGGCGGAUCGCCGCCACCUUUGACCAAGGUCUUUCCCGGUCAGCGUACAGCCAUGGUGAUGCAGCACCAGAUCCACCCAUGGCCGGACAGAAUUGGCUAGAUUAAAGGAAACUAAUGUUACUUGGACUUACAAAUUACUCAUGCUCUAACUAACUUGAGUAAUUCGUGAGUACUGAGUUAGUGGGGGGCGGCAGCGAACUACGAUUAGUAAUAAGUAGUUUGUGGAAGCCGAAGUUAUCAUAAAUUACUUAUUGUUGACACAAUAAGUAAUUUAUGGAAGCCGAGGUGGACACGAGCUACUUAUUAUUUAAAAAGUAUUUCGUGUAUGCACAGGCGAUGUUGAGGCGUAAUGUUAAAAUUUAGCGUAAGCCUUUGAAGCUAUGCCAUUGACAUUGUAUUUCUACUUUGCGAUCUUGAUGCAUAGCUUUACAUGUAGAUAUAAGUAUCUUUACCUACUUAAGAAAGUUUCUUUUAGGUAGGUAUGGAUAAUAUUUAUAAGUAGAUAUAAUAUCAAGUGUGUGUUUCCAUCUCCACUAUUUAAGGUUAAACUUUUAAGAUCUCCCCUUAAGAAAUGGCAAACUUGGAAGUUAUACUCAAGAAAAGGCAAAGUUGAAUCUGCCAUAAGUACAUUACAAUGCCCCACGGGACGUUUUAUAUGUCCCACAAAUUGCUAGGGUAACGACGAUUAUGUAAGGUCUAGAUGUCCAAAUAGACCUUACAUACCCCGGACAUGACGUACUCGGACUUGACACUAAAAUAAGAAGACCUUUAAUCAUGAAACGGAAGAAGUUCACUUAUUGUAUCCGGAGAGACAAUAUCAAUAUGUAUUUAUAUGAAUUAUCUAUUUUAUGAGAUUUUUUUGAGACCGCCGU